UACGUAGGGUGCGAGCGUUGUUCGGAAUUACUGGGCGUAAAGAGCUCGUAGGUGGUUUGUCGCGUUGUUCGUGAAAACUCACAGCUCAACUGUGGGCGUGCGGGCGAUACGGGCGGACUGGAGUACUGCAGGGGAGACUGGAAUUCCCGGUGUAGUGGUGGAAUGCGUAGAUAUCAGGAGGAACACCUGUGGCGAAAGCGGCUCACUGGACCAUAACUGACGCUGAUGCACGAAAGCGUGGGGAGCAAACAGG
rnacentral:rRNA from 1 species